GAUGAACGCUAGCGGCAGGCUUAACACAUGCAAGUCGAGGGGUAACAGCAGAGCUUGCUCUGGCUGACGACCGGCGCACGGGUGCGUAACGCGUAUACAAUUUGCCUUUUACUGGAGGAUAGCCCGGAGAAAUCCGGAUUAAUACUCCAUAGUAUUAUUAUCUCGCAUGGGAUUGUAAUUAAAGCUUCGGUGGUAAGAGAUGAGUAUGCGUCCUAUUAGUUAGUUGGUAAGGUAACGGCUUACCAAGACUACGAUAGGUAGGGGGCCUGAGAGGGUUAUCCCCCACACCGGUACUGAGACACGGACCAG
rnacentral:rRNA from 1 species